UACAGAGGUCUCAAGCGUUGUUCGGAUUCAUUGGGCGUAAAGGGUGCGUAGGCGGCGCGGUAAGUCGGGUGUGAAAUCUCGGAGCUUAACUCCGAAACUGCAUUCGAUACUGCCGUGCUUGAGGACUGGAGAGGAGACUGGAAUUUACGGUGUAGCGGUGAAAUGCGUAGAUAUCGGGAGGAACACCAAUUGCGAAGGCAGCUCGCUGGGACGUGACUGACGCUGAGACGCGAAAGCGUGGGGAGCAAACAGG
rnacentral:rRNA from 1 species